CGGGUCUCUAUGUUCCUUCUUUUGUCCCCCACCCUUGCGGAAAUGAAAUUCACCCAUUGUUUUUCGCCCCUUCUUCCUCGAUAUACAAAUUUUAGGGCAAGCUAGCAUUGACUAUUCGAACUCACUACCACCGGCGAACUCACUACCAUCAGCCAAUUCAUUAAGACCGGCGACCUCAUUACCACCCGCGACCUGAACACCACCGCCGACAACCUACAAAGAUAUGGAGAACGUAAUCAAGACAAACUUACCAGGGAUUGCUUCUUUGAUUAAGGAAGGCAUUGUUUGAAGUUGAAUCUAAGUUGGAUCAUCUUGGUAAACCUGUCACCGUUGAUACAGGGGCACCGUUAUACACUGUUCUAGAACUUUGCUGCGUGUUUGAUCGGCCAUUUGUAGAGUAUUUAGAGGGAGGUCCAUCAGGGGGAAAAUUCCAUUUGAUCUUCAUCUUUCUAUAGAGAAUGUGAAAAAGGUGGUCGCAAAGGUCAAAGGUUAUCAGCCUCAUCUAAUGGCCUCUGAGCAAGGGUAGAGACUACAUACUACUUAUUGAAGGCGCAAUUGAAUGUUUCAAAGAUCCAACUUUAGGUUCAGAAUAAACUGUCCACGGUUUUAACUUGUGAGGAAGGCCAUUGGAGGAACUCAGGUUUGUAUUUAUUUUAUUUUUUUGACGGAGUUUGAAAAAAAAAUUAGCUGAUCUUCCUUGGUAAAGACUGUAUGGUAUACUAACAGUACAUAUAUGAUGGGUUUAUAUUUAUACUUUUAUGAAACAAGAUUUAAAGCUCUUACAUACUCUUCAACAUGAAAUAUUAUGAGCCGCAAAUGCAGCACUAGCUAGUUUCCGUGAAUAUGUGAAUAUGGUAUCCGAAAUAUUGAAGAACUCAAUUCCCAAGGCUAUGGUGCUUUGCCAGGUUUCUUUUGUUUGAUGAUGAUUCCCUUCAAGAUAAUAACAUGAUGCUGUGGAAUGCUGUUAUAUUUGGCAGGCCAAAAUUCAUAUAAGAUUCUUUUUUCUGGUGGAAAUUGUUAAUCUGCAAGUUCACAACAUACAUAUUGGUCUAGUUCCUUUUUUCUUUUUUUUUUUGGAUUUGAAUGCAGUCUUGAUGACUCCCCUUUGGAUGGAGGUAAUCGGAAAUUCUGAAGCAAUCUGAGUUCAUGUGGAUUAUUCAUGUCAUAGUUUGGCUAUGAUUCUUAAUUUCUUGUUGGCUUUUAUAUGUAUCUUGUUCAUGUGGAUUAUCUUGUUCUGUGUACACCCAUACGUUUAGGUUCCAAUUAUUGGUAAAUUGGGUCAAUAUUUAGACUUUGGAACCUUAUUUUGUUAUUUUUAUAAUUUUAGAAAUUAUGAUGUAAAACUUUUGCUUUUUGGUAAUAAUAUGGUUUAUUAUGGAA